AAGUGGGGUGCUGGUUUGUAUGGCUGUUGGGAGGGAUGGGAAGUGGGGUGCUGGUUUGUAUGGCUCUUGGGAGGGUUGGGAUCAGGGUGCUCCUCUGGGGAGCUUUGAGGAGGGUAAGAAGUGGAGUACAGCUCUGGGUGCCCAUUGGGAGGGAUGGGGUGCUGCUCCAGGCACAGCGUGCUGCCUCCAGGUUGGAGGGCGUCCAUUCUCCUGUCCAGGAUGCUCAGAGAGUUCCCAGCUGCUUCUCACACUUCCAUCUGAGCUGGAGGUCUCCAUGGAAUUCCAGCAGAAGUCCCAGAGUGUCCCUCAUGUCUUCCCCUCUGUUCACAGUGGGAACAGCAUGUUUGGUGCUUCCAGCGGCUCCAGCAAUGCCCUCCUCUGACCUUCUUCCCCGAGCAUAAGUUGUUGUGGUUUUGCCAGUGCCCCACGGGCAGCGAGCACUGGUGUCAGAGCAGCUCCAGAGCUGUUGUGCGUCCUGCCCACAGGGGAAGGGGCCCGAGGGGUGGCACCCACUGCAUCUCCAGGCAGAGCGGAGAUAUUUAGGAGGGGACCUGUGGCCGGCCUGGCAUGCAGUGUGACUGCAGCAUGGGUGACGCUGCGUGGGACACAGUGCUCUGUGGGGUCAGCCACCCCAGCAGCACGGGCAGGCGGGUGUCUGAAGAAGCUCUAGGCACAGACGAGACAUCCAGUCAGGAUUUGUGCGUCAGGGGACCAGUGGGAACGUUUAAGGACAGUUUUUCAACGUGCUGCAGAAUUCUGUAUCGCCAAUUCACGAGUGCAGAUGUUGUUGCGGACCGGCAGGAGCUAUUGGCAGUUGGGUCUUUUCCCACCUCCGAAGACAUGUGAAGCAAUUUGGAUCCAUGCAACGUUAGCUGAAUUGUGCUGUUAACAUGAUAAGUGGUGUUACAAGUGAGAGCAUUAGACAAAAAUUCACAUCUUUAGGAUCCCGAAUGUGUCUGUUAGCUAUAUGUCUCCAAAGAAAUUUUGUCACCCUGUCUGCAGACUUUAAUAACACAACAGCAAAGUACUAGACUGUGUUUUGUUCAGGUUUGGGGCUACGAUUGUGUUCUUUUUCAUUGCUAUAAAAAUCCAGCAAAAUCUGGCCUUGCCAUAAACCUGUGAGAAGUUGAGUGUGCACAUGUUCAGUAGAUAUUCCCUACGCAUUUGCAGAUAAACUCUUUGGAAAUGCUACCAGGGUAUUUUAAAACUAAACCUAUUGAUGCUGUGAAGCACUGUGUUGCCGCAAGAACUGGUGCCAUGGCAGAACUCAAGAGGAAAUCGCUAAUUCUGAUGUGCCCAGCCUGCAUGCCAUGCCAUCCUUGAGUCUUGGAGCUGCAGGUGAACCGGGAUGACAAAAACGCUGAUGGAAUGGCAGCUUGCUUGGGGAGCUGUGCACAGGACCAAGGGCCCUCUGGAAAAAAUGGCAAGCGAGGAGGUUGUUAAUGCUGGGGAAGCUGUCUACAUCUGUGGCGUUGGUGCUGUCCUUUCCAGUGCCACCAGUGAGAGCCAAGGCAGGAGGGAGCUGGGUCUCUGGGUCCCAGUUGUGACAUCCCUGCAUGAACCACCUUGGAGCCCAGGCAACUGUGAUGAUAGAAGUCUGUUCUGAGCUGUUUUUCUGGUGAGUCCCUUUAAAGGAACAGGGCUGAAACCGCAUUGCUGCUAAUGAUUCCUUCCAUGGGUGUGGCUUUCCUUUGCUUGAAUAUGCUUGAAGUCAUGCACAGUGAGAAGUGGUUUUCAAAAGCUGUCUUAUUUUUGGCACUGAAUGCAGAAUGUGGCCAUGUUCUGCCCAGAAGUUAACACCUUGCACCUGGUUCCCACUCACCCUUCGCUUAUUUACCAUUCAGUUUCGAAAAUGGACCGAGGACUACACACCACGCAUGCCUAUAAAAUACUGCACUUCAUUUUAUCAUGAUGGUACUUCAGAUGUUGAGUGUUAAACCUGCAGAACAGAAAAGCAGGUCAGUAAUUUGCACCAGGUCAAGCUGAUUAUUUUCUGAUUAUUUUCUUCCUGCUAAUCUUGUGGAUUAGAGUGAGGUGAUCCAGAGCUGUCAGUUAUGUUUGGGGAUGACGCAUGGAUGGAGCAAAGUUGAACUUGAUAAAAUCUAUAGAGCAGACAAAAAAAACCACCAAACUGUUUGCUUCUCACCCCCACAUACUCUCUCUAAAAAAAAGUGGGAAAAUUGUACAUAGAAAGCAUUUAUCAUUUCAGCGCAACCUCUCCUAUAUCUCUUUGUGCCUCCUUGUUAAAUUGUGCUUUGUUCUCUGGAAAGAAGGCGAAAAUCAAGGGGACAGAAUAAAGUUGGGGUACUUGAAUUUGUGACUUAGUUAAGUCGUCGUUAGCAGAGAGGCUUCCCUAGGUGUAAGGGCAGGACUGCGUGAUACAUCCUGAGGAAUGCGUCCGAGUCCUGUGAGAUACCCGGUUACAUCAUUUUAAGUAUCUACUGGUGACUUUGCUGGGAAUAAAUAUGCCUUAAAAGACUCCUUGCACCCAGCCCAGCAGUGGAAGGAAUUGUGCCUUCACUUCUCUCUAUUCUCAAAUACAAGCAGUUUGUCACCAAAUGAAUGCUUGAAGUGACUUCACUGCUUUCAGUACAGUUUAUCUGAGAGCAGGUUUCAUCUGUUGCCUCAAAAAUAUUAGUUUUUGGAUUUCCAUGGGAAGAUAAAGUAGGAGGGAGAAAAACAACCUCCUCUACUUGUGUGAAUUCCUAUUAAAACAUCAUUUACUUUCUUAUUCCCUAGUGGAAGUGCAUGCCUGAUUUCAAUUAAAAUGAAAUGUCAUCAUUUUGGGACAUACUGCAUAGUUUCAACAGAUAUGCCUUGUGUUAGUCCAUUAGGGAGAAGAUGCUGGAUUUGUAUAAAGGCCAACAGGUACAGAGGAUGCUUCGCACCAUGGUGAAAUUGUGUGUGUGUGUAUCCUACCAGCACCCUGUUUAGCUGAACUCAGCAGAGACUUUCCCUUGUUUUCCACCUGUGUUGUUUGCAGGUGUUUAGAGCAGUCUUUGUUCGACCUCUCUGGUGAUGGAUUUCCUGGAUUCUACUGCCUCGUUCCAUGGGUCCAAGCAGCCUUUCCCACUUGGAGAUGCUGUGUCCUGCAAGCCCCCACUGUAUUAAUUGACAGCAGUGGUAAUUGGUGAUGUUUUGCUCUGAGCAAGACUGUAUGGUAUGUUCUGUAGUUGAGGGAAGUCUACAGUACUGAAUUUUACCAUAAUAUAUAUAUAUAUAUAUUACCAUAAUAUAUAUAUAUAAUAUAUAUAUAUGUAUACAUAUACAUUCCUGUUGAAGCAUCAUGCUAUACACUAUUUUUUAAUUCAAAGGAAGUUUCUCUUGUGUUUUGCUCACCCUCUACCCCCUCUGCAGUGGGAUGGGGGAAAGAAUUAAAAAAAAAAAAUAACAACAAUGUGGAACUCGAGGGUUGAGGUAAAACUCAUUACUAA